rnacentral:rRNA from 1 species
UACGUAGGGGGCAAGCGUUGUCCGGAAUCAUUGGGCGUAAAGAGCGUGUAGGCGGCCCGAUAAGUCCGCUGUGAAAGUCCAGGGCUCAACCCUGGAAUGCCAGUGGAAACUGUCGGGCUGGAGUCCGGAAGAGGCGAGUGGAAUUCCUGGUGUAGCGGUGAAAUGCGCAGAUAUCAGGAGGAACACCAGUGGCGAAGGCGAGUCCCUGGACAUCUCCUGACACUGAGGCACGAAAGCUAGGGGAGCAAACAGG